rnacentral:tRNA from 1 species
UCUAAUGUGGCAGAAUAGUGCAAUGAAUUUAAGCUUCAUAUAUAAAGACAUGUCUUUCAUUAGAA